GACGAACGCGUGGCGGCGUGCCUAACACAUGCAAGUCGAACGGGGUGGAGUUUCUUCGGAGGAGUCACUUAGUGGCGGACGGGUGAGUAACGCGUGAGAAACCUGCCUUUCAGUGGGGGACAACAGUUGGAAACGACUGCUAAUACCGCAUGACAUACCGGAGUGGCAUCAUACUGGUAUCAAAGAUUUAUCGCUGAAAGAUGGGCUCGCGUCCGAUUAGGUAGUUGGUGGGGUAACGGCCUACCAAGCCGACGAUCGGUAGCCGGACUGAGAGGUUGAACGGCCACAUUGGGACUGAGACACGGCCCAG
rnacentral:rRNA from 1 species